rnacentral:rRNA from 1 species
AGGGAAUCUUCCGCAAUGGGCGAAAGCCUGACGGAGCAACGCCGCGUGAGUGAUGAAGGUCUUCGGAUCGUAAAACUCUGUUAUUAGGGAAGAACAAAUGUGUAAGUAACUGUGCACGUCUUGACGGUACCUAAUCAGAAAGCCACGGCUAACUACGUGCCAGCAGCCGCGGUAAUACGUAGGUGGCAAGCGUUAUCCGGAAUUAUUGGGCGUAAAGCGCGCGUAAGCGGUUUCUUAAGUCUGAUGUGAAAGCCCACGGCUCAACCGUGGAGGGUCAUUGGAAACUGGGAAACUUGAGUGCAGAAGAGGAAAGUGGAAUUCCAUGUGUAGCGGUGAAAUGCGCAGAGAUAUGGAGGAACACCAGUGGCGAAGGCGACUUUCUGGUCUGUAACUGACGCUGAUGUGCGAAAGCGUGGGGAUCAAACAGGAUUAGAUACCCUGGUAGUCCGCGCCGUAAACGAUGAGUGCUAAGUGUUAGGGGGUUUCCGCCCCUUAGUGCUGCAGCUAACGCAUUAAGCACUCCGCCUGGGGAGUACGACCGCAAGGUUG